UUCAACAUUUUCCGCUAGAGGUGCCGUUAUAAGCGCAAUUUUAUCUUGCAAGCUUUCUCUUACAAUUACCGAAGCAUUUUUAUUACAUAAAAAGAGGGCCAAAUUAUCAUUGCUAAUUAGAUAUUGUACUCUUCGUAAGUAAGUUUGUUGUUUCUUUGUCACUAUAAACGCAAAUAGCGUUCAGCAUCAUCGAUCUUCCACGUGACCUCUGGCCUGGAUUUAAAAUUUUUACCGGUAUUUUCGAGUGCAUGGCGGCACGGAUUCAUUCGUUCGUGCACUCAGACUGGUUGCUUCUUUUUUGCUAAAGCUAGUUUAUUGCGCUUCGAUGUCUCGCGUUAUUUAACCUGGGGUGAAGUGACGUGUUUGCAAGCGGACAUGUAAGCCCGAAAGUUGGGUAUCGGUCGUGAGCCAUUCGGAACACGUCUGCAUCGAAACGGGAGCUGGAUUCUGGUGCGGCUGACAACGGCAAUAACGACAUGCAGUAAUGAGGAUGGCACCAGUAUAAAGCAACACACUCCACACACUAAACAGAAGCCGCUACCUGCUACAACAAGGUCAUUGUGUGGACAUUGGCUGCUACUACAAGAGUCCAUGCCAAGCAUAUCUUGGUCAUCACAGGAGCUCAUAUCCACACCAACAGAAAGAAGCAUGGAGCCGAAUUUGCAAGGCUUUUACACCACGAACAAAGAAGCGCAUGCAGAAGAAUUUGCAUGAGAUAUCAAGUCUGCAGAGCACUGUGCCAAGACUGAAAAGAGCUUCAGCCACCAUUCCACCAGCACGGACAAAUUGGCUGAGUCAUCCAGGUAACUCAAAACGGACUUUAUAGAAAUUCUUCGUCUUCAGAUGCACCUGCAACUUCUGAUCAAGCACGGACGACGCUGGCCAAAAUAGUUCCAUCAGUUUGCCCUUAAUCAGCUUCCUGGCCAUGUCAAUUCCAUUUGUGCCAAGUGUAAUUUUUCUUCUAUAAAUGCAAGCUUUUUCAUUGCCCAUUCUCGUUAGAGAUCAUUCAUCCUCAUCCAAACAUAAAGGUCAACCGAUUCUUCGCUGAUACUUAAUACCAGUCACUGUCUAGUAGCAUAACAUAUCUGUAGCAGUACCUUCUAGUGUACGUUGUCAUGCACAAUUCCUCUCAUGAAAUAGCUGAUGCAACAUCGACAUGUGUCUUACAUUAACCUACGCACCCUUCGCUAUGCACCAUUUUACUUUUCUUAAUGUUUUUUGCCUUCAAUGCUUGCAAGAGCAGAGUUGCUUCUCUCUUGAAUGCAAGCUUUCUCAUUUUCCAUAUUCCAUAUUCCUAGUCUCGUUCAUGAUUGCUCUUCCUCGAUA